CGGGGCGUGGCGCAGACCGGCUAGCGCGCUUGCAUGGGGUGCAAGAGGCCCUGGGUUCAAAUCCCAGCGCCCCGACCU
rnacentral:tRNA from 1 species